UAGAGAGUGAUUCAUAGAAGUUGUGCUUGAGACUGCGUGGGAGUUAGAUCUGAGGAUGAUUUCACCGGUUGAAGUCAGUGUUCACUUAUCCAAUCUUUUAAAUUUUCUUAUCCCAAAAUUGUUGUUGGAAAACAACUACUGCACAGUUAUUUAUUACGAUCAAAACUUAGACAGCGCGCAAAAUGAGUGCAAUCGUCAGUGUCAGUUUCGAGCUGCAGCCGGGCAAGAGUUGCUCCUCCAUGGAGUUCCAACCGUUUGGAUUGCAGCUGGAACGGAUCACAUGGAGGCUCAACUAAAAAAUGCAAUCGAAAUUGGAUGUCAGGUGUCGCUUCAAUCUUGAAGUCUUGAAUUUUUGAUAAAAUAUUCAUUUUUUCGCAGUCUUACAUGACCUUCACCGAUAAUCCAACGAGCUUUUUGAAAAUGAAGCUUUACCUCAACGAUCGAACUGCGCAACGAAUUCGCGAUACAAACUUUCUCAUGUUUUAUGAAAAUGUGACCUUGGUGAACAAUAAUCACGUUUUCAGAGAAGCAAUGAAAUAUUACCCAAACUUCUGGAUUGUAACCCCUUCCAAACCACUCGGGUACGAAAUAUUCACUCAAAACUACUCUGCGAAGGAUGCGCCACAACUCUUCUCUGAGAAUAGCAUUGAUAUUUUGAACGCAUCAAACUCGUCGACAUUUUCGGAUAAAAUAUUUGAUCUGGGUGGACGGGACGUCAACGUUGGAGUAGUCGACUACGGUCCGUACUGUUUGACGGAAAAUGUUGGCGAAAAUCGGGAAAUGCGGACGCCUUCAACUCUACGCUGAGAAAGGAGCUCCAGAUUGAAGGUUUGGAGGAAAUCUGAUUAUCGAGUUUUGCAAACUGAGGAACUGUACCCUAAAGCUGCUAC